rnacentral:rRNA from 1 species
UACGAAGGGGGCUAGCGUUGUUCGGAAUUACUGGGCGUAAAGCGCACGUAGGCGGACUAUUAAGUCAGGGGUGAAAUCCCGGGGCUCAGCCCCGGAACUGCCUCUGAUACUGGUAGUCUAGAGUCCGGAAGAGGUGAGUGGAAUUCCGAGUGUAGAGGUGAAAUUCGUAGAUAUUCGGAGGAACACCAGUGGCGAAGGCGGCUCACUGGUCCGGUACUGACGCUGAGGUGCGAAAGCGUGGGGAGCAAACAGG